rnacentral:rRNA from 1 species
AGCAGCCGACGGUAAUUCCAGCUCCAAUAGCGUAUAUUAAAGUUGUUAGCAGGUUAAAAAGCUCGUAGUUGAAUUUCGGGAUCAAAUUGUCGGUACGUAGCCUUCGGGUACGUACUGGUAUUAUUGGUUCCUCCCUUCUGACGAACCACGAUGGUCAUUAAUUUGGUGUCAUGGGAAAUCAGGACUGUUACUUUGAAAAAAUUAGAGUGUUUAAAGCAGGCUCGCGCUUGAAUACAUUAGCAUGGAAUAAUGAAAUAGGACGUUUGAUUCUAUUUUGUUGGUUUCUAGGAUCGACGUAAUGAUUAAUAGGGAUAGUUGGGGGCAUUAGUAUUCAAUUGUCAGAGGUGAAAUUCUUGGAUUUAUUGAAGACUAACUACUGCGAAAGCAUUUGCCAAGGAUGUUUUCAUUAAUCAAGAACGAAAGUUAGGGGAUCGAAGACGAUCAGAUACCGUCGUAGUCUUAACCAUAAACUAUGCCGACUAGGGAUCGGAUGAUGUAAUUUUUUAAUGACUCAUUCGG